rnacentral:rRNA from 1 species
UACGUAGGGUGCGAGCGUUAAUCGGAAUUACUGGGCGUAAAGCGUGCGCAGGCGGUUCGUUGUGUCGGCGGUGAAAGCCCCGGGCUUAACCUGGGAAUGGCCGUCGAAACUGGCGAACUGGAGUGUGGCAGAGGGGGGUGGAAUUCCGCGUGUAGCAGUGAAAUGCGUAGAGAUGCGGAAGAACACCAGUGGCGAAGGCGGCCCGCUGGGCUGUGGCUGACGCUGAGGCGCGACAGCGUGGGGAGCAAACAGG